CCAUGGAUAGCUCAAUUGGUAGAGCACAAGACUGUUAAUCUUGAUGUCGCAGGUUCGAUUCCUGCUCCAACGU
rnacentral:tRNA from 1 species